CAACAUGGUAACUUAAAAACCAAAACCCCUAAAAGAAAAUAUUACAAUAAAACGAUGGAGGUGGCAAGAAAAUAUUCUAUAACAGUGGCAUUUUUGUUGGCUUUUUUUAUCAUUGCAUCAGAUAUGGCUACAGAAUCACAAGCAAGAGGAGUGAAUGAGAAUACAAAUGAUCAAGCAUGUUCCAUUGAUACCGAUUGUAUAAUGAAACAUUUUCCAUGCCCAACCAACACGGUUCCAUUAUGUGUUGAUGGUUCGUGUCAAUGUCGUGGAUAGUUAUGUUUAGACGAGAAUAAUAAAUAAAACAAUUUCAACAUAUAAAAUGAUAUGGUUUUAUAUUAAAAUAAUUACAAUAUCUAUUAUAUAGAUUAUAUUUCUUUUAGAAUAAAUAAAAAAGUUUUGUUUU